ACUGUGUCUAACCCCAAAAGCACAGAUUUCUAAAGGUGGAGUUCUAGGCAGCAGGACGUGUCUGCGGACAGGUGUGGCGGCCAGCGUCACUGGGAUAAAGUCAAGGUGUCGGCAAGGCUGGUUCUUCCUGAGGCCUCUAGGGAAGAAGCUGAUCCUCACCACCUCUGGCUUCCAGAGUCUGCUAGCAUUCCCUGGCUUGUGGCCACAUCACUCCAGUGUCUGCUUCUACUGUCUCCUCACUUUCCACCUCUCCAAUCUGCUGCCCCGCCUCCUCUUAUAAGACCCUGAUGCCUGCCUCGGGCCCAUCUGGAUAAUCGAGAAUAAUCUCCCCAUCUCAAAAUCCUUAAUGUAAUCACUCCUGCAAAUUCCCCUUUGCCGUGUCGGGUAACAUUCAGAGGCUCUGUGGAUC
ensembl:lncRNA